rnacentral:rRNA from 1 species
GACGAACGCUGGCGGCGUGCUUAACACAUGCAAGUCGAACGGAAAGGCCCUGCUUUUGUGGGGUGCUCGAGUGGCGAACGGGUGAGUAACACGUGAGUAACCUGCCCUUGACUUUGGGAUAACUUCAGGAAACUGGGGCUAAUACCGGAUAGGAGCUCCUGCUGCAUGGUGGGGGUUGGAAAGUUUCGGCGGUUGGGGAUGGACUCGCGGCUUAUCAGCUUGUUGGUGGGGUAGUGGCUUACCAAGGCUUUGACGGGUAGCCGGCCUGAGAGGGUGACCGGCCACAUGGGGACUGAGAUACGGCCCAGACUCCUAUGGGAGGCAGCAGUGGGGAAUAUUGCACAAUGGGCGGAAGCCUGAUGCAGCAACGCCGCGUGCGGGAUGACGGCCUUCGGGUUGUAAACCGCUUUCGCCUGUGACGAAGCGUGAGUGACGGUAAUGGGUAAAGAAGCACCGGCUAACUACGUG